UGGCUCAGAGCGAACGUUAGCGGCAGGCUUAACACAUGCAAGUCGAGCGAGAAGGGGCUUCGGCUCCGAGUAAAGCGGCGGACGGGUGCGUAACACGUGGAUAAUCUGCCUCGUGGCGGGGGACAACAGUCCGAAAGGACUGCUAAUACCGCAUGUCAGGUCGGAAACUCCGGUUUCUGACGAAAAAGAGGGCGUCCGCAAGGAGCUCUCACCACGAGAUGAGUCCGCGUCCCAUCAGCUAGUUGGCGGUGUAAAGGCCUACCAAGGCGACGAUCCGUAGCGGGUCUGAGAGGAUGAUCCGCCACACUGGGACUGAGACACGGCCCAGACUCCUACGGGAGGCAGCAGUGGGGAAUUUUGGACAAUGGGCGGAAGCCUGAUCCAGCCAUGCCGCGUGAGUGAAGAAGGCCUUCGGGUUGUAAAAGCUCUUUCGGCGGGGAAGAAAUUGCACGGGUUAAUACCCUGUGUAGAUGACGGUACCCGAAUAAGAAGCACCGGCUAACUACGUGCC
rnacentral:rRNA from 1 species